AUAGCGUAUAUUUAAGUUGUUGCAGUUAAAAAGCUCGUAGUUGGACUUUGGGUUGGGUCGGCCGGUCCGCCUUCUGGUGUGCACCGGUUUACUCGUCCCUUCUGUCGGCGAUGCGCUCCUGGCCUUAAUUGGCCGGGUCGUGCCUCCGGCGCUGUUACUUUGAAGAAAUUAGAGUGCUCAAAGCAAGCCUACGCUCUGUAUACAUUAGCAUGGGAUAACAUCAUAGGAUUUCGGUCCUAUUACGUUGGCCUUCGGGAUCGGAGUAAUGACUAACAGGGACAGUCGGGGGCAUUCGUAUUUCAUAGUCAGAGGUGAAAUUCUUGGAUUGACUCAAGACCAACUAGUG
rnacentral:rRNA from 1 species